rnacentral:tRNA from 1 species
CGGGUGUAGUUCAAUGGCAGAACAUCAGCUUCCCAAGCUGAAUACAGGGGUUCGAUUCCCCCCACCC